rnacentral:rRNA from 1 species
UAUGGUGAUUAUGGCAGCGGGGUACACCUCUUCCCUUUCCGAACAGAGAAGUUAAGACCGCUAGCGCUGAUGGUACUGCCAAUGGUGGGAGAGUAAGUCAUCGCCAUUC